rnacentral:siRNA from 1 species
UAGGAAGGUUGCAAUAAAAGACA